UUCUGAUGGGGUUUUUAGCUUCAGAGCACAAAUAUUCUGAACUUUUGUUCUGGGUCUGUUUAAUUUGAUCGGUUUCUUUCAUUUCUGAGUUGAAUUGACAGAGAGUUGGGGUUGAUUGGUUUGAUUGUCCACUAUUUGAUUCGAAAGUUUGGUUCUUCUGAGGAAUUUGUAUUUGAUUGAUUACAGACAGAGGUUCUGGGCGGGUGGUUGGGCUGAUUGGGGAAAACGGUGGAGCUGCAGAUGCCAAAAAUCUACGGGUGAAGUUAACCUGAAGGUGGAUUAGCUUUUGGUUGGCUGGGAGGAGCAGCGCAUCUCCCUUGCAUGUCCCCUACACUUUGAAUUGGAGGAGUUUCGCAAGACUUCAAAUUGGAGUUUUGUGAUGCAAACAGAUGUUAAGAGAUCAAAACUUCCUUCAGAUGCAACUGACAUUGUGAUGGAAGAUGUCCCAUUAUUGACAAAUCUUCUGCAAUAUCAUGAUGCUAAGGUUUGGAGCAUGCUUCUGUAUGUUUGACCCGAAUUGCUGAAUCAUUUGCAUCAUCGCCUGACAAACUUGAUGAACUAUGACAAGCUGGUAUUUUGCAGAACAACGUUAACCAGAUUUGUGCCUGAAGAUGCAUGGUUCUAUGCAGCCUGUCCCUCAUGCUCAAAGCAAAUGAGGAAAAAGCCACGGAGUCAACUACUACUAAUCUGCCGAGAUCAUGAAAUGCAGCAGCCACAUUAUAGACUUUCCUUCUCUCCUCGCCGGAUCGCGGUCAACCUCGUUCCAUCCCCGCAACGCAGUGGAAAAACGUCACCCUCUCCAACCAUUCCCUUCCCCAUGUCGGAAUCAAAAGCCCAAACGCAGAUCGAAAAAUUCCGAUCGGAUCCAACCCAUAUCGGGCCAGAUUGCGCCGAGCCAAGCAACGUCACCACGAUCCCAUCAACUCCAGUCCACCUCCGAAUCUACGCCGACACACCGAUCCUAACCCCCAGCCAGCAAGAAAAGAACCAUCACCCGCCAACAGCCCUGAUCUGCUCUACCAUCCCACUGAUCCUGAUCAAUUCCAGAUUCGUUUUCAGGCGGAGAAAGAAUCGUAGGCGAACAAGUCUCAGAAGCUGGCGUUGAAGCUCGCGAGCAUGGGGGCGAUGGAGCAGCGGUGCUUGGUGCUGGAGCAGAAGAUCGCAGCCUAAAGCUUCAAGAUCUGGGCGCUCUGGUCCGAUAUCGAGUUUCUUCGUCCCUAGUCGAUCUGAUCUGGUGCCCAGAGCACUUUUUUGUAUACUCUGAGCUCCGAGAAUGGGGAAGGAAAAAAAAAGUGAACAUGUACAAUUGAACAUAUAAAUUGAUCAAUUGUGUCUUUACUGUAUUCAUUUUGGUUCA